AACGAACGCUGGCGGCAUGCCUAACACAUGCAAGUCGAACGAAACCUUCGGGUCUAGUGGCGCACGGGUGCGUAACGCGUGGGAACCUGCCCUUAGGUUCGGAAUAACUCCCCGAAAGGGGUGCUAAUACCGGAUAAUGUCUUCGGACCAAAGAUUUAUCGCCUUUGGAUGGGCCCGCGUUGGAUUAGCUAGUUGGGAGGGUAAAAGCCUAUCAAGGCGACGAUCCAUAGCUGGUCUGAGAGGAUGAUCAGCCACACUGGGACUGAGACACGGCCCAGACUCCUACGGGAGGCAGCAGUGGGGAAUAUUGGACAAUGGGCGAAAGCCUGAUCCAGCAAUGCCGCGUGAGUGAUGAAGGCCGGAGGGUUGUAAAGCUCUUUUACCCGGGAUGAUAAUGACAGUACCGGGAGAAUAAGCUCCGGCUAACUCCGUG
rnacentral:rRNA from 1 species